UACAGAGGAGCCAAGCGUUGUCCGGAUUGACUGGGCGUAAAGCGUCUGUAGGUGGCUUUUUAAGUCUGCCGUCAAAUCCCAGGGCUUAACCCUGGACAGGCGGUGGAAACUACCAAGCUGGAGUACGGUAGGGGCAGGGGGAAUUUCCGGUGGAGCGGUGAAAUGCGUAGAGAUCGGAAAGAACACCAACGGCGAAAGCACUCUGCUGGGCCGACACUGACACUGAGAGACGAAAGCUAGGGGAGCGAAUGGG
rnacentral:rRNA from 1 species